GACGAACGCUGGCGGCGUGCUUAACACAUGCAAGUCGAACGGAAAGGCCCCUUUGGGGGUCCUCGAGUGGCGAACGGGUGAGUAACACGUGAGUAACCUGCCCUUGACUUCGGGAUAACUUCAGGAAACUGGGGCUAAUACCGGAUAGGAAUCCUUGCUGCAUGGUGGGGGUUGGAAAGCUUCGGCGGUUUUGGAUGGACUCGCGGCUUAUCAGCUUGUUGGUGGGGUAGUGGCUUACCAAGGCUUUGACGGGUAGCCGGCCUGAGAGGGCGACCGGCCACAUUGGGACUGAGAUACGGCCCAGACUCCUACGGGAGGCAGAAGUGGGGAAUAUUGCACAAUGGGCGGAAGCCGGAUGCAGCAACGCCGCGGGCGGGAUGACGGCCUUCGGGUUGUAAACCGCUUUCAGCAGGGGCGAAGCUUGUGGUGACGGUACCUGCAGAAGAAGCACCGGCUAACUACGUG
rnacentral:rRNA from 1 species